rnacentral:rRNA from 1 species
UACAGAGGGGGCAAGCGUUGUUCGGAAUUACUGGGCGUAAAGGGCGCGUAGGCGGCCUGUUAAGUCGAACGUGAAAUCCCCGGGCUCAACCCGGGAACUGCGUCCGAUACUGGCAGGCUUGAAUUCGGGAGAGGGAUGUGGAAUUCCAGGUGUAGCGGUGAAAUGCGUAGAUAUCUGGAGGAACACCGGUGGCGAAGGCGGCAUCCUGGACCGGUAUUGACGCUGAGGCGCGAAAGCUAGGGGAGCAAACGGG